rnacentral:lncRNA from 1 species
UUUUUUUUUGCUUUGAAAUCUGCCAGCUCUUGGAAUCAGCCUCUACCAGGCCCCUUGGGUUUCGGGCUGGAGGAAGUGAGCAGGGAAGGUGGUUGGAGAUUUCUCAUUCUCCGAGGAAUAUGUUCGAUACAGACACCGCGGGUCUCCUUGUUAUGCUAGAAACCAGCGGUUGUUUGCACAUAAGGAGCUACCACACGGUAAUGAGGUGCAGCCAGAGGCAAAAUGACAUUUGGCGAAGUCUUUUGUGUACUGCAGCCAGUGACUCUGAAAGGGAACUCCGGAGUAGUAUGCAAGGCUACAGAAUCACGUCUUGGAUCAAUGUGCCGCAGACACAGACUUCAUGGCCUGUAGUUAGAAACGGCUUCUUUCUCCGGUGUCAACCCCGCCGUAAAACACACCUAAAGGUCUAACAGGCAGAAUUCGUCACUUCAGGAUUGUUUGUAGAACACUGCUGCGAGGAGGAGCGUUCUGUAGGCCAGCAGA